rnacentral:rRNA from 1 species
GAUCCUACGGGAGGCAGCAGUGAGGAAUAUUGGUCAAUGGACGAGAGUCUGAACCAGCCAAGUAGCGUGAAGGAUGACUGCCCUAUGGGUUGUAAACUUCUUUUAUAUGGGAAUAAAGUGAGCCACGUGUGGCUUUUUGUAUGUACCAUACGAAUAAGGAUCGGCUAACUCCGUGCCAGCAGCCGCGGUAAUACGGAGGACGCGAGCGUUAUCCGGAUUUAUUGGGUUUAAAGGGUGCGUAGGCGGGAUGCCAAGUCAGCGGUAAAAAUGCGGUGCUCAACGCCGUCGAGCCGUUGAAACUGGCG